rnacentral:rRNA from 1 species
UACGUAGGGGGCAAGCGUUAUCCGGAUUUACUGGGUGUAAAGGGAGCGUAGACGGCGAUGCAAGUCUGAAGUGAAGGCCCGGGGCUCAACCCCGGGACUGCUUUGGAAACUGUAUGGCUGGAGUGCUGGAGAGGCAAGCGGAAUUCCUAGUGUAGCGGUGAAAUGCGUAGAUAUUAGGAAGAACACCAGUGGCGAAGGCGGCUUGCUGGACAGUAACUGACGUUGAGGCUCGAAAGCGUGGGGAGCAAACAGG